CAUUUCAAUCACAGAAACUACUCUCUCCUGAAGAACAUCAAACCUUUUCAUUUUCAACGCCUGAAACAACGCUCCCGUGAAAAACAUAUUCUCUUCUCAAUGAAAGUUGAAUCCCAAACAUAAAUCUGGGAAUCAAACAAAUAAUCGGUUCGGUUCAAUUUGAUUCAACUUGAAAACCUAAAUCGUUAUCAUCUAUCAUCGGUACCUUCUUUGACAAUUAAUCAGUCAGGGGAAAACUAGAUAAGAUUCAAUUUCAAUAUUGAAGAGUUCAUCCUUGAAAGCAAUUGGAAAGAUAAGUGUAAUCUAUUCUUAUCAUUUAAAUCUGAUCGCCACUAUUAAUUUAUCGACUUCGGAAUCGGUUUCUGAAAAAAUAAUUAGGAUUUCAAAAACCUAAUUAGUUCGGUUUCGGUUUCAAUUUCUUAUUCAGUUUAUGAGUAAGAUCAUGUUGUUUGGGAAAAUGUUGCUUAUGUUUGUUUGUUUUUUCUUUAAUCAGAUUUUAUUAGUAAAUAUAAUUUUCUUCUGUUCACCAUCCUCAAAAACCAUCGCUCCUUUAUGGGAGAAUUCAAAGAAAGACAGAGAGUUAUAUGUCAGUGUGUCUACCCACGGUAGAGCUCAUUGAAUUACUGAAAAUGUUUUACAUGUUAUUUUAUUUUUUUGGUUUAUUGUUGAAACGGUUCACCGUGAAUACGUUGAAAUGCUUAAUGAUUUCUGAAAUAUCCGUUGAUUAGAACAGAACUCAAAAUGCAUUAAACUGCUUAGUAAAUUUUCGUCAUUAUUGAAUAGGAUCAUUGUGGUUACAUUGUGCUUAAUGAAUUCUGAAAUUAUAUAUUGAUCAGAGAAGAACCCAUAAUACAUUUGCUGGCCAUAGUUCACGAUUCCUAUUUAGGCACUAAGGCGGGAACUCAAAGCAAGGAGCACCAUCAAUUUGUAAUUAGUGUGACCUUUCAUUCCUUCAGUCUCUCCCCUUUAUGGUUUAAGAGAAUAUGUAGCAUUGGAAAUGCUACGUAUAAAGGUUUGUCACAAGCUCCACUAAUCAUCUUAAAUAAUGUUUUCCUGUUAGAGGGUGAUGGACACGACAUUCUUUGCGGAAGAUGUGCAUCUUUUGGCAAGUGCAAGCAUAGACCAAGGGUUUUUGUAUGGGAGAUUAAGGAAGGAACUAAUGAAGAAAAUAAGCCACGAAUUAACAUGGGAAGCCGUCACUGCCAUCCAGAUAAUGGGCGGGGGGAAUUAGUUCAUCCACGAGUUUGCUGGCACUCCCAUAAACAAGUGAUGGAGUUGCAACAAAGAAAUGUGGAGUUAUAUUUGAUCUCUCUUGCAAUCUUGCAAGGUUACUUGAAUUAUGUACCAGUGGGAUCCCUGAAGCAUUCCUAUCAGGCUCUGAUAUGAAUCUUUGAAGGCCGAUAGUUUGAUAGUUUUCACAAAUUCGCUAACUUCGUUAGGUGCUGAUACUUGAUACGCACCUGGGAUCUUGUAUUCCAGAUAAGGAAGGUAUCAAUACGAGCAUUCAAGGAGUGCAAUCAUAAGGAUGGAACAAGGUACGUGCCUAUUCUUGUAUGCCUAGGGCUAUUGGGGAAUGCGUGAUGUACUUGUGCCCCGUGUUGAAGGUUUGCACUUGGCAUGAUAGUAAGUAGUCUCAUGAAAUGAUGAAAUGAAAUAAAACUUGUUGCUUCUUAUGAUUUGUUUACAGCUAUUUGGAACCUUCAUAAUAUGUAUUAUGUUAGGUUCAUUUUAUUAGACAACGAUAAAGAUAGACGAAAAUGGUUUCGAUAUGAAGAAUUUUGGUAAAUGCUCUGUCAUAGUUAACAACAAAGAACUAAAAUCUGGACAACGUCUAAAACAUGAUACGAUUUGGAGGUUGAGGUGAUGGAUUGCAGCAAUAAAAUGCGGUAUCCCCGAAGCAUCCCUAUCAUGAUCUGAUAUGAACCUUUGAAGGAUGAGUGAGUUGAGCUGCCGAUAACGUCGUCUAGAUUUUUUUGGCUUUUGAACUCAUAAGCUUAAAAUGGUAAAGCGCCCAAGCUUAUAACAAGGUCUGCGGAUGUUGAUGGUUCAAAUCCAUUUGAGCUUCCGUGUUAUGUUUAUUGAAUAUGAAUGGCGGUACUGGUUCUUAGAUGGACGAUUCAAGUUGUAUGUGGUGUACAAACGGGUGCAUGUUGUCUUGUCUUUGAAUUUUUCUGGACUUUUGUAGAUGAGUACAUGUUUGUACAUCAAUGUGAACUAAGAUUUUUUAAAAAUGAGAAUUAUAUAGUCAUAUGGGUAUUCUUUUUGUAGCUCUCGGAAAGUGCUUUCCGAAUAUAUAAAGUUUGCGAAUUUUGGACA